rnacentral:rRNA from 1 species
GAUGAACGCUGGCGGCGUGCCUAAUACAUGCAAAUCGAGCGAACGGACGAGAAGCUUGCUUCUCUGAUGUUAGCGGCGGACGGGUGAGUAACACGUGGAUAACCUACCUAUAAGACUGGGAUAACUUCGGGAAACCGGAGCUAGUACCGGAUAAUAUUUUGAACCGCAUGGUUCAAAAGUGAAAGACGGUCUUGCUGUCACUUAUAGAUGGAUCCGCGCUGCAUUAGCUAGUUGGUAAGGUAACGGCUUACCAAGGCAACGAUGCAUAGCCGACCUGAGAGGGUGAUCGGCCACACUGGAACUGAGACACGGUCCAGACUCCUACGGGAGGCAGCAGUAGGGAAUCUUCCGCAAUGGGCGAAAGCCUGACGGAGCAACGCCGCGUGAGUGAUGAAGGUCUUCGGAUCGUAAAACUCUGUUAUUAGGGAAGAACAUAUGUGUAAGUAACUGUGCACAUCUUGACGGUACCUAAUCAGAAAGCCACGGCUAACUACGUG